rnacentral:rRNA from 1 species
UUUGACCUCAAAUCAGGUAGGACUACCCGCUGAACUUAAGCAUAUCAAUAAGCGGAGGAAAAGAAACUAACAAGGAUUCCCCUAGUAACUGCGAGUGAAGCGGGAAAAGCUCAAAUUUAAAAUCUGGCAGUCUUUGGCUGUCCGAGUUGUAGUCUGGAGAAGCGUUUUCCGUGYUGGACCGUGUACAAGUCCCUUGGAAUAGGGCGUCAUAGAGGGUGAGAAUCCCGUCUUUGACACGGACUGCCAAUGCUUUGUGAUGCGCUCUCAAAGAGUCGAGUUGUUUGGGAAUGCAGCUCAAAAUGGGUGGUAAAUUCCAUCUAAAGCUAAAUAUUGGCGAGAGACCGAUAGCGAACAAGUACCGUGAGGGAAAGAUGAAAAGCACUUUGGAAAGAGAGUUAAACAGUACGUGAAAUUGCUGAAAGGGAAACGCUUGAAGUCAGUCGCGUUAUUCAGAACUCAGCCCUGCUUUCGCCUGGUGUAUUUUCUGUUUGACGGGCCAGCAUCAAUUUUGAUCAUUGGAGAAAGGCCAGAGGAAUGUGGCACCUUCGGGUGUGUUAUAGCCUUUGGUCGUAUGCAAUGGUUGGGAUUGAGGAAUACAGCAUGCCUUUAUGGUCGGGGUUCGCCCACGUUCAUGCUUAGGAUGCUGGCGUAAUGGCUUUAAACGACCCGUCUUGAAACACGGACCAAGGAGUCUAACAUGCCUGCGAGUAUUUGGGUGGAAAACCCGAGUGCGCAAUGAAAGUGAAAGUUGGGAUCCCUGUCGUGGGGAGCACCGACGCCCGGACUUGACCUUCUGUGACGGAUCCGCGGUAGAGCAUGUAUGUUGGGACCCGAAAGAUGGUGAACUAUGCCUGAAUAGGGUGAAGCCAGAGGAAACUCUGGUGGAGGCUCGUAGCGAUUCUGACGUGCAAAUCGAUCGUCAAAUUUGGGUAUAGGGGCGAAAGACUAAUCGAACCAUCUAGUAGCUGGUUCCUGCCGAAGUUUCCCUCAGGAUAGCAGAAACUCAUGUCAGAUUUAUGUGGUAAAGCGAAUGAUUAGAGGCCUUGGGGUUGAAACAACCUUAACCUAUUCUCAAACUUUAAAUAUGUAAGAACGAGCCGUCACUUGAUUGGACCGCUCGGCGAUUGAGAGUUUCUAGUGGGCCAUUUUUGGUAAGCAGAACUGGCGAUGCGGGAUGAACCGAACGCGAGGUUAAGGUGCCGGAAUACACGCUCAUCAGACACCACAAAAGGUGUUAGUUCAUCCUAGACAGCAGGGACGG